GAUGAAUGCUGGCGGCGUGCUUAACACAUGCAAGUCGAGCGGAAAGGCCCUUCGGGGUACUCGAGCGGCGGACGGCUGAGUAACGCGUGGGAACAUGCCCCAAAGUGAGGAAUAACUGCCCGAAAGGGUGGCUAAUGCCGCAUAUGAUCUUAGGAUUAAAGGAUUUAUCCGCUUUGGGAGUGGCCUGCGUAUGAUUAGGUAGUUGGUGAGGUAAUGGCUCACCAAGCCGACGAUCAUUAGCUGGUCUGAGAGGAUGACCAGCCAGACUGGAACUGAGACACGGUCCAGACUCCUACGGGAGGCAGCAGUGAGGAAUAUUCCACAAUGGGCGAAAGCCUGAUGGAGCAACGCCGCGUGAAGGAUGAAGGCCCUCGGGUUGUAAACUUCUUUUAUAAGUGAAGAAUAUGACGGUAACUUAUGAAUAAGCACCGGCUAACUACGUGCCAGCCGCCGCAGUA
rnacentral:rRNA from 1 species